rnacentral:rRNA from 1 species
ACCGAGGCUUCGGCCCCGGGGACAGCGGCGAACGGGUGAGUAACACGUGGAUAACCUGCCCUCGGCACCGGGAUAGCCCGAGGAAACUCGGAUUAAUACCGGAUAGCCUUUCCGACUCUCGAGUCGGUUCGAAAAGGUAGCUUCGGCCUCUGGCCGGGGAUGGGUCCGCGGCGGAUUAGCUUGUUGGUGGGGUAAUGGCCUACCAAGGCUACGAUCCGUAGCUGGUCUGAGAGGACGAUCAGCCACACUGGGACUGAGACACGGCCCAGACUCCUACGGGAGGCAGCAGUGGGGAAUCUUGCGCAAUGGGCGAAAGCCUGACGCAGCGACGCCGCGUGAGGGAAGAAGGCCUUCGGG